UACGUAGGGUGCGAGCGUUAAUCGGAAUUACUGGGCGUAAAGCGUGCGCAGGCGGCGCGUUAAGACAGGUGUGAAAGCCCCGAGCUUAACUUGGGAAUUGCGCUUGUGACUGGCGUGCUGGAGUGUGGCAGAGGGAGGUGGAAUUCCACGUGUAGCAGUGAAAUGCGUAGAUAUCGAGAGGAACACCAGUGGCGAAGGCGAGUCCCUGGACAACUCCUGACACUGAGGCACGAAAGCUAGGGGAGCAAACAGG
rnacentral:rRNA from 1 species